rnacentral:rRNA from 1 species
GACGAACGCUGGCGGCGUGCUUAACACAUGCAAGUCGAACGGAAGGGCCUUUUCGGCGGUACUCGAGUGGCGAACGGGUGCGUAACACGUGGGUGAUCUGCCCUGCACUCUGGGAUAAGCCUGGGAAACUGGGUCUAAUACCGGAUAGGACCGCACUUUAGUGUGUGUGGUGGAAAGUUUUUUCGGUGUAGGAUGGGCCCGCGGCCUAUCAGCUUGUUGGUGGGGUAAUGGCCUACCAAGGCGGCGACGGGUAGCCGGACUGAGGGGUUGGUCGGCAACAUGGGGACUGAGAUAGGGCCAGAACUCCAAGGGGAGGAGGAGGUGGGAAGAAUUGAACAAUGGGCGCAGGCCGAUGCAGCGACGCCGCGUGGGGGAUGACGGCCUUCGGGUUGUAAACUCCGUUCGCCAGGGACGAAGCGUUUUGUGACGGUACCUGGAGAAGAAGCACCGGCUAACUACGUG